UUCAUUUCAAAACAGAGCUAAGAACAAGGAAAGAACUAAGUAAACAAAAAUUUCCGCUGAAUUUGCAAAAGUGUACACAUUAAGAACUAUAAUUGCUUGAUUGUUGUUGCGUGUUAAUAAACUUCACUUGAGCAGUCAACAUUCAAAUUGAAAAUAUCGCUCUACUAGAUGUGUUUCACCGAGUGCUUUGUGAACGAAACGAAUUCACGCGUAAAAUCGACGCAUAUUAAAAAAAAAAAUUGCGUGGAGCACAUGUGGACUGUGUAACUCAUUUCUAAGUUUUCCAAUAAGACAUUUUGUACAAGGGUGUCAUGCUGUUGGUCAGAAACGAAAAAGUUACUUUGCGGGACGCCAUUUGCAAUUUUUGGAUGCCAUAAUCACAGCUCGGAUGAUUUUCUCUUCGUAGUUAACUGCGCUUUUAAUUUCGUGUGGUUCAAUAUAUAACUCAGUUUACAGAUCCGUUCAAAGUUCCACGUUGAUUCUUCUGCAUCAUGUUAAGUGGCCUCGAGUGCAGCACGUAUUCCCUCCACAAAUACAAACUUAAAAAACCGACGACAUAUUGCACGAAAGGAAAAAAAAAACAACAAUGUCAAAUGAUUUCGUUAGUGCAUCAAAUUGUGUGAAGAUGUCUCCACUUCCCAUUUCGCCAGUUCCCGACACAAAUAUACCUGCAACCACUCUCCGUACACAAAUUCUGAUUUCGUAGGUAAUUUAGUUACCUUUUGCGGAUUCUAAGAUCAACGACUGUUCCACUGGAAUAAUGCGUUUAAAUUUUGAAAAACUAUUUUCCUGCAUUAAACGAAGAAAAUUGCCGUGCGAAAUACGAAUCAUGCCAUAGCGUCAUUUUCCUUUUGUAUUUCGAAUGAGUAAAGCUGCUACGUUAUUACAGGAAUCAACGAGGCUUUAUGAGACCUUAAAACACAGCCUUGGCAAAAAUUGCAAUAGAAAUACAUCCAUUUAUAAAUAAUUUCCAGGAGGGAUCCACAAAGUAAAAU
rnacentral:lncRNA from 1 species